rnacentral:lncRNA from 1 species
UCACAAACGCCUUGCAAAGAAUUCUGAAUUUUAGAAGCUCUUUGCAGAACCCCCUUCAGCCCGCUCCAAGCUGCCUUGGGUCCCUUUCUAGGCUGUCAGACUUCGCCUUCCUUUCCUCCUUGUUUUUCCCAGCAACCAAAGCAUCUGAAGAACAUUUUUUUCCUCCGUAAAUCUGAACAAAUUUCCUUGCAGCUUUCCUUGCAGAAGCUUUUUUAUCGCUUUAACAAAACUUUCCUCUGCUUCUCUAGGGAGAGCCUAGUAUUAGAGCUGCCCGACAGGCGGGACCCCGAAAUCGGGGCAGCUCUGGCUUAGUCCAGGCUAUUCGAGUGGGCGCCUGAACUGGAGGCGCCGUCUCCACCGGGAUGGGGAUCCUAGUGCAGGCAGACGCCUGGCAGGACUCGGCGAGCUGGGGUCCCCACCGCGGUAGCCAGAGCAGAAACCCGAACCCCAGCCAGAGGGGCCGCGCGCGGGGAGGGGU